CCUACGGGUGGCUGCAGUGGGGAAUAUUGGACAAUGGGCGAAAGCCUGAUCCAGCCAUGCCGCGUGUGUGAAGAAGGCCUUCGGGUUGUAAAGCACUUUCAGUGGGGAAGAAAGCCUUGGGGCUAAUACCCUCGAGGAAGGACAUCACCCACAGAAGAAGCACCGGCUAACUCCGUGCCAGCAGCCGCGGUAAUACGGAGGGUGCGAGCGUUAAUCGGAAUUACUGGGCGUAAAGCGCGCGUAGGCGGUCUGAUAAGCCGGUUGUGAAAGCCCCGGGCUCAACCUGGGAACGGCAUCCGGAACUGUCAGGCUAGAGUGCAGGAGAGGAGGGUAGAAUUCCCGGUGUAGCGGUGAAAUGCGUAGAGAUCGGGAGGAAUACCAGUGGCGAAGGCGGCCUUCUGGACUGACACUGACGCUGAGGUGCGAAAGCGUGGGUAGCAAACAGGAUUAGAUACCCGUGUAGUC
rnacentral:rRNA from 1 species